CAGCCGCCGCGGGAAUACAGAGGGUGCGAGCGUUAAUCGGAUUUACUGGGCGUAAAGCGUGCGCAGGCGGUUCGUUAAGACAGAUGUGAAAUCCCCGGGCUUAACCUGGGAACUGCAUUUGUGACUGACGGGCUAGAGUAUGGCAGAGGGGGGUAGAAUUCCACGUGUAGCAGUGAAAUGCGUAGAGAUGUGGAGGAAUACCGAUGGCGAAGGCAGCCCCCUGGGCCAAUACUGACGCUCAUGCACGAAAGCGUGGGGAGCAAACAGGAUUAGAGACCCCCGUAGUCCCUGUCUCUUAUAC
rnacentral:rRNA from 1 species